rnacentral:rRNA from 1 species
GCAUGUGGUUUAAUUCGACGCUACGCGAAGAACCUUACCUGGGUUUGACAUGUUAGUAGUAAAAACCUGAAAAGGGGCUGACCCUGAGGUAACUCAGGGAGCUAACACAGGUGCUGCAUGGCUGUCGUCAGCUCGUGCCGUGAGGUGUUGGGUUAAGUCCCGCAACGAGCGCAACCCUUAUCCUCUGUUGGUCGUAAACGAUCUCUCUGGGGAAACUGCCGGCGAUGAGCUGGAGGAAGGUGGGGAUGACGUCAAGUCAGCAUGGCCCUUAUGUCCAGGGCGACACACGUGCUACAAUGGCUGCUACAGAGAUGCAAUACCGUGAGGUGGAGCCAAUCCUUAAAAGCAGUCUCAGUGGGGAUCGGAGUCUGCAAUUCGACUCCGUGAACGCGGAAUCGCUAGUAAUCAUGGAUCAGCCAUGCCAUGGUGAAUACGUUCCCGGGCCUUGUACACACCGCCCGUCACACCACGAAAGCCUGUUGUACCCGAAGCUGGGGAGUUAA